GACGAACGCUGGCGGCGUGCCUAAUACAUGCAAGUAGAACGCUGAAGGAGGAGCUUGCUUCUCCGGAUGAGUUGCGAACGGGUGAGUAACGCGUAGGUAACCUGCCUGGUAGCGGGGGAUAACUAUUGGAAACGAUAGCUAAUACCGCAUAACAGUAGAUGUUGCAUGACAUUUGCUUAAAAGGUGCAAUUGCAUCACUACCAGAUGGACCUGCGUUGUAUUAGCUAGUUGGUGAGGUAACGGCUCACCAAGGCGACGAUACAUAGCCGACCUGAGAGGGUGAUCGGCCACACUGGGACUGAGACACGGCCCAGACUCCUACGGGAGGCAGCAGUAGGGAAUCUUCGGCAAUGGACGGAAGUCUGACCGAGCAACGCCGCGUGAGUGAAGAAGGUUUUCGGAUCGUAAAGCUCUGUCGUAAGAGAAGAACGAGUGUGAGAGUGGAAAGUUCACACUGUGACGGUAUCUGACCAGAAAGGGACGGCUAACUACGUG
rnacentral:rRNA from 1 species